rnacentral:lncRNA from 1 species
UUGUAAACCCCAAUCCUAAUUAGUUAGCUUUUACAAGUUGUAACAUCCAAUCCGACCAUCCACUUGAUGUGGAAUUCUUCAUACAAUUGUCAAUGCAAGUCUUCUAAAUGAUCAAGAACUUUUAGCCCAAUCCAACUUACAGAUUGUGAAAAAACCUCCAAAAAUUACACCAAUGUCACUCGGCCACCAACUUGAAAAGUGAAGCAGAAAUCCCAGCAAUGAUUUCUCCUUCUCCAACCAUUAACUUUGUCUUAAAAUUGGUGCAUAGCUUGAUUUUUAAGUCUUCCAAAACCAUGCUAAUUUUCACCUUAAUCCGACUGAUUGAUCUUUAGAUAUCAUAGAAAUCCUACUCAACCUCAAACUGCCACCUUCUGAAACCUUCUUGUGCUAAAAACUAGAUAUCUCUAAACCAUGUCGUUAGAUUAUCACAAAAUUUUGUUUACACUUAGCACAUGCAAUAAUCCAAACAAUAUCAAAUUUCAACCAUAGAUGUCAUGCCAAUUGCACAAACUAGCCAAAAUUGCUAACCCUAAUUAUAUUAUAUAAAACCCAAAUCAUGGAUACAAACCUUGACUUUGAUCAACAAUUGUUAAGUCCUCCAAAACCCUCUCAUAACAAUUCUUAUGUCUUUGGAAAGAAAUUCAAGCUAGCUCUCAAACUUUCACCUCCGAUCUUUGAAUGAAACCUUAUUUUAUCCUAGGCUAUCAUUUUAGUGACCAAAGGUCUGAUUUUGACCCUAUCUCACAAACAGUCGACCCUCGGAUCUCAAUCUAUCCUAUCCUAAGGAUUUUUUAGUCCAAUCCUACUCUCAACUUAACCUUAGUACCAACUAUACUAAUUAUUUAUCUCUUCUAACCUGAUUUCAUCAAUUUAUAGUCUUUCUAAGGUAGUAGAAGAGUCUCUACAACUUAGAAGGUAAAAUUACUAAUUAACCUUCAACCUACUAAUUAUUAAGAUAAGAAAAUAACUUAAGAGGAUUUUAUAAAAGCCAUAUUAAGAUACCUCAAAUUAAAAUUAAACUAAGAUAAUAAGAUAUUAAUUAGAAAUUCAAUUUUGAUUAUAAUUUCAUUAUAUAGUUGUAUUACAUCACGACAUCCACCCCCUCUUAAUGUGCGCAUCCUUUGGCAUGCGCCAAAUGAACCAUUUGUCAUAAUUGGCAUUACAUCAUCUCUUCAUUUUUUUCAUCAAAUCCUUCAUUUUUAUUUUCACCAUCUUCUUCAAAACAAUUAUCUUCUUCAAAAAUGUUAAUAUCUUUAGCAUGACCCUCCAUAUUGAUUUCUCUAUCUCAUCUUUUAAAAAUCUUUACGCGCUUUUCAGUAAUAGGUAUUUUCAACCUCAUACCAUCUAACUCCCUUAAUGAAUAUGCGGCAUUAUCAUGAACCAUUACAACCACAUAUGGUCUAAACCAAUGUUACAAAAACUUUCGCAAAGUACUAUAUUGGUUAUUCAGACUGCUAUCAUAAACAAGUACUCAAUCACCUUUUUCAAUUGCUCUAGGUCUCAAUUGAUGUUGCUUGUCAAAUCGAGUCUUAUUUCCUAACCUUACCUUUUGUAAACUUUUUAAUGUUAAUUCCACAUCUUCCGACCUUUGUUCAAGUUGCCGGAUUCUAAUUGCCGGAUUCUAAUCGCAAUAUCUGAUAUUAUACAAUUGGUAAUCAUUCCAAUUAAAGGUAAACAAUCUAUUUCAAUUACCACCAGAGCUCUAAUCAAAUAAUCCUUUUCAGCUUUCAUAGCUGAAACAACUCUCUAUAGUUCCCUUUUCACCUGUGAAUAUGCACAUUGUCAAGUACUUAAAACUUUAGCUCCAAAUUGCACUACAAAUCUGUAUCCAUUUGAGUCAUUCUGACCUACAGUCCAUCUAAUGGCAAUCGGACUAGUAUCCAUAGUAAGAAUCACUAGUCUAUUACUCUUAUAAUCAAUUUUUCUCAAUACUAGAGGCAAUAUCAAUAAUUUCUUCAAUCUUUGUACUGCUUUAACAUGCUUUUCUUUCCAUUUAAAUCGAUAGCCUUUGCUUAAUAGUUCAUAUAGCAGAUCCGCUAUGUGUGCAUAAUGAAGAAUCCAAAUAUGAUAAAAUACAUAUACAUCUAAAAACCUAUAAAUCUCUGUUAAAGAACUACAAUCUUCUUUCAUUCUCUCAAUUGCAUCAACUUUAGUUGGAUCUAAUUUUUUUCCAUAAAAUCCACACAGAUGUCCAAAAAUCACAACCUCUUGUACUCCAAAUGAAGAUUUUAUACUCGAUAAUGUAAGAUGAACUUCUCCAAGCUGAGUCAAUAUUAUUUUAUAAUCUUGUAUAUGAUCAGCAAUAUACUUGCGACACCCCCUUUUAUCUAAAGUUUCAUCCUUGUCUUCUUCUUUGCAUCCCUUUAUAGGAACGUCAUCUAGAAAAGCCAUAGUCUUUUCUAGAAUAAAAUCUUCCAAUACCUUAUUCAUCCCUUUCAUCAUGUGCGCAAUUGAGUUGGUUGUGCCUUGAGGAAGAGUACACAUUCUAACUAAUCUAAGUAGUGUUCUCAUCAUUGUCAUAUUUCUACUUCCUUUUGCAAGUUGAAAUUGGUCAUAGCCCGAAUAUAAAUCACCCAUUAAAUAGAUUGCCCUUCUUGCAAACACCUUAGCAAAUUCAUCUACUAUAGGUCCAAUUUCUGCAUUCUUGAUAGUUACUGCAUUUACAGGUUGCAUAUCUUGAAUAAAACGUAAUGACUCAUAUUUCUUAAGCACUGUAAACCAUCGACUAGAAUAUGGUGCAAAAGAAGGCUCCAAAAUCUUCAACUUUAUCUUUUCUUUUAAUAAUUCCACCGAGCUUGGUAAAUGUGUCCUUGGUAUUCGAAUUGGCCUUAGAUUCUAAGGUACAUAUGAUACAAAGGAAAUAAUCAUAGGUCUUAUAAUAUUUGGAUCCACAUACCCAAUUUCAUAAGAUUCAAAGGUAAAUGAUCUACCUUAUUUUGCCAACAUCUCUUGGAAGCAGGUAAUUUCCUCUAGCAAUAAAGAACCAUCAGAACUAAUCUUUAAUUCUUCAAAAGUCUCUUUAGUAAACUUGUGACCAAUAUUCUUUGGAUCUCUCAAGCUCCUUUCUAUUGAUGAUUCUCUCAUUUGUUCUUUAAAAUCUUCUGGCAAAGGUCCUGCAUCCAUUUAACUUUCUUAUCUACUAUCUUAUAUUUUGUCUCAAUUAUAACCACCAGUGCUUGAAAAGAUUCAAUCAUAUCAUAAACUUCUCUUAAAUGAAUUGGUAUAACUUUAUCAUCAUUACCUAAUCCAAUAGAUACAAUCAAUUCCAAAGGAUCCUCUAGUCUAUUUUUUUCAUAAAUACCAGUAAUCUUUUCAUACCUUCUAAUAUUCCUAACUUAUAUAAUUCUCUUUUAAUAGUACUUAAUUCCUUUCUUUUUUACUUUUUAAGUCAUCAAUCUUCUUAUACAUAAUGCUUUCAUUUUCAAAAAUACUAAUAAAUCCUCCAUUAAAGAUACCUACAUCUUGCGAGAGUACCUCUCUUUUUGUACCUCUAUAAUCUUGCUUUAUAGUAGUACCUUCAAAAAAUCCUUGAAUUCUUCAACAAUCUUGGACAAUGAAUUUUCUCUCAAUUCGUCUCGAUUCCGUUCAUGAUUUUGAGGCAUAGUCAAAAACUGAAUUUCCCUCCUCCCAUCCUCACUAUAAAUUUGUGCAUAAGCUAAACCAUCAUCAAGUACCUAUAUUUAAAAGUAGCCUUUAAACUUAUUGUAGAAGUCUUUCCUUCAAGCCUUGCAAGUUUGAUUUAAAGAUCUCGCAUCCCUCAUAUAAUCUCCUCAAGUCCAAUAUCUUCUUUCUUUGGUGUAGCUAAUGGAGGUUGGACAAUAGGCACAGUCAAUCUUGCAGUAUGCAUUAGAGUCUUUGGUACUUGUACAACUCUUCGAGUACUAAACCUAUCCUUUCUCUUUUCUUUUUUUUACAAGUAAUCCAAUAGCGUCUUCAACAGCUUUCCACUUUAUUGUCAAUCCUUCCUCUUCUUCCUUAUCUUCAAGAAGAACGUCUAACUUCUCUUAUAAUUCUUCAUUAGCAGCUUGAAGAAACAAUUCAACCUUCUUUGGUCCCAAUAUUAAUUUUUCUAUUUUUGAUAAUCAAAAAAAUUACCUUUCAAAUUCUCUUAAUAAUUCUAUAGCUUGCAAAUUUUUUUUAGGUCGCUCAAUCCAUUCCAAGAAUGAUUUCUUGGUAAUUCGAUCAAUAUCCUCUAAAAAAUACUCAUCCUUCAAUGUAUGUGAAAAUACCUCCCAUAAACUUCCAAAUUGUCCUAUAAUAGACCUUAUAUGCUCUCUUAUCUCUAGUACCGUUGUCAUGAUAUAACACGAUUAAUAGGUGAAAGAGUGUAGAUAUUAUUAUAAUUUAGGAGAUCUUAGUUUUAAGUAUUAGAACAAAUUAUCUUAGAAAUAUAGUUAAUAGUCAAAGGGGUAGAAAAAUUAAAAGGUACCAAUACUGCAUUUUAGAAAGGUGACUUCUACUUAUUUUGUAGCACCAUAAAUAAGGCAAAUCAAAGUAGAUUGGAAAAAUAAAUAAUAUAGGCAUCUUUAGAAAGAAGUUAAGAGAAAAUUUUUAAAAAAAUUUACUUAGAAAAAUUAGAUAUUGAUACCUAGAGAGGGCCGGUUAUAAACCAGGGUCGAAAUCAGACCCUAGGCACAAAACCGAGUCUCGACGAUAAUUCAAGGACUCUUUGGCAGAUCAUAGAAUGAGGAUUUGAUAGAAUAUUGGAAAGGAUUUCUAUGAACAUUGAUUUUAAGUGAUUCGGAGAUGUUAUGACUUUGUAAGAGCUUUGAAAAGUAAAGAUUUGUUUCAUAUAACUUGGGUUUUAUGAAAUAAAAUAGAGUUUACGUUUUGGGUGAUUUUGAGAGUUCUGUAAUAGAUCUACAAGUAAAAUUUUGUAGGUUUAUGGUUAUAAUUGUGUUUAAUAUGUGUCAAUCUAAUGGUUGAAUUGUGGGAUAAUGAGGUUUAAGUGGGUCAAAGUCUCAGAAAAUAGAAUUUUAGGUCUAGUGGGAUUUUUAAGAUUUCUUGCAAUCUACUAAUUGGAUUAAAAUAAAUCUUUUGUGAAAGGAUAUAAGACUUGUUUUUCUAUACACAUGAGAAUUUUGAGAUCAAUCGAAUAAUGCAAAGGAGAGAUAUUGGCUUUGGAAUAUUGGCAUUAAGAUUGGAGAAGGAAGCCGGCCAAUACCCAAGCACAUUUUUGAGGUUAUCGUCAAUUUGGUAAUUCCGAUCCUUUUCAAUAUUUUUGUGUUUUUUUUUAACUUAUUUUUUUAGAAGUAUGCAAAGUUUGAGUUAAGAUCAACGGUUUAUUCAUUAGUUAUUGAGGUUUAAAUCUGUUGUAGGAAUUACUAGGAUUUGGUUUAGGAUUUAGGAUUUUGAUUAGGGUUUGAUUUAAGAUUUAGGAUUUGUUUAGGGAUUUAUUUAGGGUUUAGGAUUUUUUUAGAGUUUGAUUUAGGAUUAAGGAUUUGAUUAGGAGUUUAUUAAGGAUUUAAGAUUUGUUUAGAGUUUAAUUUAGGAUUUAGGAUUUGGAUUAGGAUUUAGAUUAGAGUUUAGGAUUUGGAUUAGGGUUUGAUUUAGGAUUUGAUUAAGGUUUAAUUUAAGGUUUAGGAUUUAGUUAGGAUUUGAUUUAGGGUUAAGGAUUUGGUUAAGAUUUUAUUUAUGGUUUAGAGUUUGGAUUAGGAUUUAGUUAAGGGUUUAGGAUUUGGAUUAGGAUUUUGUUAGGAUUUGAUUUAGAAUUUAGAGUUUGGUUUAGGAUUUGGAUUAGGAUUUUGUUAGGAUUUGAUUUAGGAUUUAGAGUUUGGUUUAGGAUUUGGUUAGGAUUUGGUUUAGGAUUUGUUUGGAAUUAGGUUUAAGGUUUGUUUAGGGUUUGAUUUAGGAUUUAGGAUUUUAUUAGGAUUUAAGAUUAAAUUAGUUUUGGCCUAAAGUUUGAAUGAAGUUCAAUAGGAUUUUAACUAGAAUUAAAUUAAGAUUGAAUUGAGAUGUAUUUGAGUGAUAUUUGUGAUCCUUCUAAUAUUUCUUUAAGAAUUCUUAUUGUUUGUUUGAAAUUUCUUUGAGGUUUUUUUGAAUUUGAUUAAGCUUGCUUAGCUUUAUUAUGGUCUAAUUAGAGCAUUAUUAGUAUUCUAUUAGAAUUAGGAUUUUUUUAUUGCAAUUUCAUUCUUCCUUCCACAACUAGGUGCUCGGAGCAUUCUCAAGCAAGACCUCAUGUAUUACGACACCAUAGCAAGCUCAAAUAAAUGAAUCAUCUCUUUCUUAGAAAUGCGAUUCAAUUCCAUUUUCCGCACAUAACAUCUUAAAAAUUUAGAAAUAUCCUUUCCAUUAUAUUGGUCAACCUUGUUAAUCACUACUUACAAUGUUUUGGUUGCCAAAGCCUCUUUGUGAACAUUGCCUUAUUACUGUUGCAUAAACAAUGUAAAUGCUUGAAAUUUUUUUGCAGUGUUUGAGUUAAGGUACAUACCUUGUUCACCAGUAGAAAUUCCACUUCAAGUUGUGCUUAAAGAUCCACUUGAAGCUCCACACAAAGCUCCAUCAAAAAAUCAAAAUUUAACCCUCUUGUCUUCUUGCGCCAUCAAUUCCAAAUAAUAAAAAAUAUAAUCCAAUACCUUCCACCUCAAACAUUCACGUGGGAUUCACCACUUAUGUCAUAUUACAUGUUGUUUUGCUCAAGAAUGCACCAGGCACUUAGUUGUAAAAGGUGAGAUUAUCUUUCAUAAGUAGCCAAGAAAACCUAAUAGAUUAUAUCCAUGCGAGAAGAAUAUAAUCUGAACUUCAAUUCAAAAGUGCUUAAAAUACUCUUUUUAGUAGUCUUACCCAUACAUAAAUCCCAAUUACCUUGUUACUUUCAUAUUUAAGCAAUUUAGAUUUUUCUUGUAAACCCCAAUCCUAAUUAGUUAGCUUUUACAAGUUGUAACAUCCAAUCCGACCAUCCACUUGAUGUGGAAUUCUUCAUACAAUUGUCAAUGCAAGUCUUCUAAAUGAUCAAGAACUUUUAGCCCAAUCCAACUUACAGAUUGUGAAAAAACCUCCAAAAAUUGCACCAAUGUCACUCGGCCACCAACUUGAAAAGUGAAGCAGAAA